UACGAAGGGUGCAAGCGUUACUCGGAAUUACUGGGCGUAAAGCGUGCGUAGGCGGUUUGUUAAGUCCGCUGUGAAAGCCCUGGGCUCAACCUGGGAAUUGCAGUGGAUACUGGCAAGCUAGAGUGCGGUAGAGGAUGGUGGAAUUCCCGGUGUAGCGGUGAAAUGCGUAGAGAUCGGGAGGAACACCCGUGGCGAAGGCGGUUCUCUGGGCCUUACCUGACGCUGAGACGCGAAAGCGUGGGGAGCGAACCGG
rnacentral:rRNA from 1 species